rnacentral:rRNA from 1 species
CAGUCGCCGCGGUAAUACGAAGGGGGCUAGCGUUGCUCGGAAUGACUGGGCGUAAAGGGCGCGUAGGCGGCGGCCAAAGUCAGGCGUGAAAUUCCCUGGCUCAACCUGGGGGCUGCGUUUGAUACUUGGUUGCUUGAGUGGGGAAGAGGGUCGUGGAAUUCCCAGUGUAGAGGUGAAAUUCGUAGAUAUUGGGAAGAACACCGGUGGCGAAGGCGGCGACCUGGUCCUUUACUGACGCUGAGGCGCGAAAGCGUGGGGAGCAAACAGGAUUAGAGACCCCAGUAGUCCCUGUCUCUUAUAC